GCCAUGAACUUGUUCUGCAAAUAACGGCGAGCAUCUUGAUAAAAGACCCCAGGACAGCAGAGAUAACAGUAGCCACAGCAGAACUAGCUUUAAAAGAAUGUAACAUCUCCUAACAGUCUAUCACUGGCAGAGCUUGCGCAAUAUCCAAUGCAGCCGGAAUUGCUAGAGUUGAAUUCACUUGAGGGGGAAAGAAGGUGUACUGAUGAUAUUAAUGAUCAAGGCUGGUACACUCCCUGUUGCUGAUAGUAUUCAAACACUGAAGAGACAACAAAAGGGAAAGUUGCAGAGAAGAUUCAAGAACUAAAUACAUGGAUACAUCAGAUAAUCUUUAAUAAUUACAAUGGUUAGACCCUGUGACUCUUUUAGACUCUGCCUUUGUCAUCACCUCUGCCAAUAAACCAUGUGGCCUUAAACACAUUAUUAACUCUGUCGCCCUUUAUACUUUUUCAUUAAAGUUAUACUAAAUGAUC